CGACAGGACGUCUUUCACGUCGUGGGUCUCAGCACGAAUGGGAUCUGGUAAGAGUGUGGUAUCAGCAGUUCCUCCUGCAACCCAGCUGCCAGUUGACCAGCGCUUCUUCACCCUGGCGCUAGAAUGUCCAGCAGGAACUUUGCAACCAAAAUCAAAUCCAGGAGCCAAGAUUCACCAGCUCAGAUGGCCUCUGGGAGUCCUCGGUUUCCUAUUGAAAAAUGGAAGAUCCUAGAUGAUGGGAGGGACCGAACUCCUGCCGGUUCUCACGCAGAAUUCCACGGAGAAUCUCGGGGUUCUAAGUACCUGCUCAACCAUGACCCAGGAUACCCUUAUGCAGUCCCACAGGUUGAAAGUUGCCGUGUGGGUAUGCUGGGAUUUGGAUGUGGGUCCUCUUGGAAGAGCAGCAAGUGUUCUUAACCAUUCAGCCAUCUCUCCAGCCCCAGCUCUGACUAUAUUAAAUUCUCUCUGUGCGUAGUAAAAACUAAUGACCACCUUUGUGUGAUACAUUUAAAAAUUAGAACACAAGGUAAACUAUCAAAAUGAUAUAUUGUAUUUUCUUUUCUCUUUUCAUUUAAAAAAGUGAUUUUUAUUCUUAUUUUAUGCAUGUUCGUGUGUCAUGUGCAUACCUGGAUUGUGGGGGCCGGAAGAAGGCAUUAGAUCGCUUGCAACUGAAGUUAGAGAUGGUUGUUAGCCGCCGUGUGGGUGCCCGGAAUUGAACCCAAGUCCUCUGAAAGAGCAACAAGUGCUCUCCACUGUUGAACCAUCUCUCUAGCUCUGUUGGAUUUCUUCUAACAUUUCACACUGAUGACCUCAGCUAGUCCUAAUUAAAAUCCUAUGAGGCAUAGGGAGAGAAGGACACAUUGGUGAUAGGGAGACUGAGACUCUGGAGGUCUUGAAGAACCAGCCUGCCUCUGUCUUAGCCUUUAAAAGUCAUCUUAUAGGAAAGACAAACUAGGUUCAUUCCCGUUUGUGACUAAUCCUCUGUUACUCAAAGAUUGGGCUACGCCUUCCUGUAACCUUAACUACAAACGGUUCUGUACCGCCUGUUCCAGGCAUGGCAAGCAUGCCUUUGCUUCAGAAAGUUGUUAUAACCAUCAAGCAACCCUACCUUUGUUUCAAAAUGAGUACCUUGUUACGACUACCUGUAGUGAUUACCUUGUUUUGACCGCCAGUUAUAUUCUGCUCCUGUAACCCUUUUCUAUUUUUUUCCCAUUUGGAAACGCCCUACCCCUGAACUAUAAAAGCCCUGUCUCCUUCACUUCAGUGUUGAUCUCUCAAACCCCACUUUAGGGGAAGGCAGCCUACGUACACGAAUAAAAAAAAAGCUUAUUUUAA